rnacentral:rRNA from 1 species
UACGUAGGGUGCGAGCGUUGUCCGGAAUUAUUGGGCGUAAAGAGCUUGUAGGCGGUCUGUUACGUCUGCUGUGAAAACUCGGGGCUUAACCCCGAGCCUGCAGUGGAUACGGGCAGACUAGAGGUAGGUAGGGGAGAAUGGAAUUCCCGGUGUAGCGGUGAAAUGCGCAGAUAUCGGGAGGAACACCGGUGGCGAAGGCGGUUCUCUGGGCCUUACCUGACGCUGAGGAGCGAAAGCGUGGGGAGCGAACAGG